AUGGACAGUGACACGGAGCAGAGCGGGACUGGUGCAAACGGAGUCCUCUGCCAGGUGCAGCUGGUCCAGUCCAACCCAGGAGCGGUGAAGCUCAGGGAGACCCUCACCCUGAGCUGCGCUGUCUCCGGGGUCUCCAUCACUACCAGCGGUUAUGCUUGGCACUGGGUCUGGCAGCCCCCUGGCGAAGGCUUGGAGUGGCUCAGGUAUAUAAACUCUGCUGGGAGCACAGGCUACACCCCGUCUCUCCAGAGCCGCCUGAGCUUCUCCAGAGACACGGCUAAAAACGCGCUCUCCCUGCAGCUCCGCUUGCUGACAGCUGCGGACACUGCCACCUAUUACUGCGCCAGGAGAGACACAGUGACACGGAGCAGAGCGGGACUGGCACAAAAAUGGGAAGCGGCUGAUAAAGAGGAAAGUGAGGCCAGAGUGACAAGGGGAAUGUGA